UGGGUAACCUGCCCAAGAGAUCGGGAUAACACCUGGAAACAGAUGCUAAUACCGGAUAACAACAGAUGAUGCCUAUCAACUGUUUAAAAGAUGGUUCUGCUAUCACUCUUGGAUGGACCUGCGGUGCAUUAGCUAGUUGGUAGGGUAACGGCCUACCAAGGCGAUAAUGCAUAGCCGAGUUGAGAGACUGAUCGGCCACAUUGGGACUGAGACACGGCCCAAACUCCUACGGGAGGCAGCAGUU
rnacentral:rRNA from 1 species